rnacentral:miRNA from 1 species
AAACGCCGUGGGACGCGGGAC